rnacentral:sRNA from 1 species
UGGCUGAACAAGUCGUGCAUAAUGCCAACUUUUAGCGCACGGCUCUUUCACAAGAGCCUUUCCCUAGACCGAAUAUAGGAUUCGUAUUCGGUCUUUUUUU